rnacentral:miRNA from 1 species
ACUUGGUCGGCGAUUUAAUAUUA